AAUUGUUGCAGUUAAAAAGCUCGUAGUUGAAUUUUGGAACGGGAGGGAGGGGGAGUCCGAGGGUUUUCGAUCCUCGAGGCUCGCCUCUCCCUUCGUGCGGCGCCGGUCCGCCCCGAAGGGCGAGCACUGGUCCGCGCGUUCCCUCCUACCGGACGCUCGCUCCUGCUCUUCGUUGAGUGGGAGUAUUCUCCCGAGGGUCGAUUUCCCCUUUCUCCUUUUUUUUUUCUUCACGGAAAAAAAAAAAGGAGGAAGAAGGGGCGAUCGUUCGCAAGAACCGANUCUUCGGAAUCGCUCGGGGUUUCGACGGGGCCGGAAGGAUUUCCGGGGAAAAGGAACUCGUUCCUUUCCCCCCCGUUUUCCUUUUUCCACCGGUUCCGUUCGGAGCUCCGGUUCGUUUACCUUGAAUAAAUUAGAGUGUUCAAAGCGGGCAAGCACACGCCUAGAUACUUUAGCAUGGGAUAAUAGAAUAGGACUUGGGUUCUAUUUUCGUUGGUUUCUAGGACCGAAGUAAAUGAUUGAUAGGGACGGUCGGGGGCAUUAGUAUUUAAUUGUCAGAGGUGAAAUUCUCGGAUUUAGGAAAGACUGACUUCAGCGAAAGCAUUUGCCAAGGACGUUUUCAUUAAUCAAGAACGAAAGUUAGGGGAUCGAAGACGAUCAGAUACCGUCGUAGUCUUAACCAUAAACGAUGCCGACCAGGGAUCGGGAGACGUUACCUCGAUGACUCUCCCGGCACCUUGCGGGAAACCACAAGUCUUUGGGUUCCGGGGGGAGUAUGGUCGCAAGGCGGAAACUUAAAGGAAUUGACGGAAGGGCACCA
rnacentral:rRNA from 1 species